AGCGAACGCUGGCGGCAGGCUUAACACAUGCAAGUCGAGCGGGCACUUUCGGGUGUCAGCGGCGGACGGGUGAGUAACGCGUGGGAACGUGCCCUCUGGUUCGGAAUAACUCGGGGAGACUUGAGCUAAUACCGGAUACGCCCUUUUGGGGAAAGGCUUGCUGCCGGAGGAUCGGCCCGCGUCUGAUUAGCUAGUUGGUGAGGUAACGGCUCACCAAGGCGACGAUCAGUAGCUGGUCUGAGAGGAUGAUCAGCCACACUGGGACUGAGACACGGCCCAGACUCCUACGGGAGGCAGGAGUGGGGGAUAUUGGACAAUGGGGGCAAGCCUGAACCAGCCAUGCCGGGUGAGUGAUCAAGGCCUUAGGGUUGUAAAGCUCUUUUAUCCGGGACGAUAAUGACGGUACCGGAGGAAUAAGCCCCGGCUAACUUCGUG
rnacentral:rRNA from 1 species